GAUGAACGCUAGCGGCAGGCCUAAUACAUGCAAGUCGAACGGAAUAUAGUUUUCGGAUUAUAUUUAGUGGCGCACGGGUGAGUAACACGUACAUAACUUACCCUCAAGAGGGGGAUAGCCUUGGGAAACUGAGCGUAAUACCCCAUAGUAUUAUUGAACGGCAUCGUUUGAUAAUUAAAGCUACGGCGCUUGAGGAUAGAUGUGCGUCUGAUUAGCUAGUUGGUAAGGUAACGGCUUACCAAGGCGACGAUCAGUAGGGGGCGUGAGAGCGUGGCCCCCCACACGGGUACUGAGACACGGACCCGACUCCUACGGGAGGCAGCAGUAAGGAAUAUUGGUCAAUGCCCGGAAGGGUGAACCAGCCAUGCCGCGUGAAGGAUGACUGCCCUCUGGGUUGUAAACUUCUUUUUGGAUGGGACGAAAAAACGGGAUUUAUCCUGGACUGACGGUACCAUCAGAAUAAGCACCGGCUAACUCCGUG
rnacentral:rRNA from 1 species